rnacentral:lncRNA from 1 species
UAGAGACGGGGUUUCACCGUGGUCUCGAUCUCGUGACCUCUUGAUCCGCCCGCCUCGGCCUCCCAAAGUGCUGGGAUUACAGGCGUGAGCCACCGCGCCCGGCGCAGGGCGUGCCCAGGGCUUCUGAUGCCAGAGCCCAGGAAUGAGCUUUUGCCUUUUGGAUUCAGGGCUUCCCUGUACUCUCACAGAGUCAGAAUGGCCGUAUGUUUACAUGUGAAGCCCUGGGGCUCCCUGGCCCCUUCCUGGGCCGUUCUCCACCUUUUCUCUUCUCACCCUUUGCUGUUCCCUGAGUCAUGCAAUCCAUAGUGAAGAGGCCAGAGGCCCGGAUGGGGAAGUGCCGGGGGCAGCCGUGGCAGCUUCAUCACAGAGCUCCUGGGGACUGAUGCACACAGCUGUGGAAAUGAUAGUAAGGCUCUUUGUUAGAGCUCUUGUGGCUGCCUGGAGAUGAUGCUGCCUUGGCCAUGGCCUGCUGUUAUCCUCGGGGAGCUGGGACGUGGGCACAGGGGCAUGCAUUUCCCCCUCAGCACUAGCUCCAAGGGACAAUGUGCAGCACUUGCUGAGGGCAGAAGAAAAUGGAAAACAAAGACAAACAAACCAAAGAAGGCGGAUGAAGUAGAAGCCAUUCAUUCUUUCCAUGAACAUUGACCCUAUAUCCUGAAGGUGGAUCCAAUGAAAAAAGAGAAGCAGCAAGAGUGGCUUCUGUUUCCCUGGCUGGACUCUGAGUAAUAUAGCAGCAAUAAUUUCCCAAGGGAAAGGAGGAAGACGGGUUGGCUCCAAUGAAGACACUUAUGAUGUGAAGAGUUCCCGUAACAGUUCACCAUCUCUGGGGCAGUUAUACAACAGGGAUCCCUGACUUCUUCAGAACCGAGAGUUCAAAUCAGGACUAUCUGGUGAUGAAUCUAUCCACUAGAAGCUGAUAUGAAGAGUCAGGUCACUAGAAAACAGAAUAUCAUGUGAUUGUGUUUGACUGCACAACUGGUCUCUAUCAAUAUCUAUGCCUGAAGAGGAAGAAUGUUUGCCUAGUAAGGCCAUUAAUAUUGGCAAAUCUUGCAUAGACACAAGUGGUUGUAAUUCUUACUACCAUUAAGACAGUAGAUGGAUGGCUUUGAAUUUGGGCCAAGUGAGCAAAGGCAGCCCCUCCCUCUCUACGUUCCAGCCGUUUUGCUCACUGUGAGGACUCAGCUGUGACACGCCAUUGUCCAUCACUAUAACUGUGGGCAUUCUUUUGAAUCAUCACUAAUCAAAGAUGUUUGUCUCCAGAGCUCUUGGCAUCAUAUAAUGUCUAGCAACCUCAUGUGAACUAUAAAGAACCUUGGCACCAAGGGUGCAGCAUAGCUCCAUAACAAAAAUGAAUAAAUUUUAGGCAUCAACAGUGCAUUCAAGGGGGGGAGGAGCCAAGAUGGCUGAAUAGGAACAGCUCCGGUCUACAGCUCCCAGCGUGAGCGACGCAGAAGACAGGUGAUUUCUGCAUUUCCAUCUGAGGUACCGGGUUCAUCUCACUAGGGAGUGCCAGACAGUGGGCGCAGGACAGUGGGUGUGCUCACCGUGCGCAAGCCGAAGCAGGGCAAGGCAUUGCCUCACCUGGGAAGCGCAAGG